rnacentral:rRNA from 1 species
GACGAACGCUGGCGGCGUGCCUAAUACAUGCAAGUCGAGCGGAUCUUUAUUAGCUUGCUUUUGAAGAUCAGCGGCGGACGGGUGAGUAACACGUGGGCAACCUGCCUGUAAGACUGGGAUAACUUCGGGAAACCGGAGCUAAUACCAGAUAAUCCUUUUCCUCUCAUGAGGAAAAGCUGAAAGACGGUUUCGGCUGUCACUUACAGAUGGGCCCGCGGCGCAUUAGCUAGUUGGUGAGGUAACGGCUCACCAAGGCGACGAUGCGUAGCCGACCUGAGAGGGUGAUCGGCCACACUGGGACUGAGACACGGCCCAGACUCCUACGGGAGGCAGCAGUAGGGAAUCUUCCGCAAUGGACGAAAGUCUGACGGAGCAACGCCGCGUGAGCGAUGAAGGCCUUCGGGUCGUAAAGCUCUGCUGUCAGGGAAGAACAAGUACUGGAGUAACUGCCGGUACCUUGACGGUACCUGACCAGAAAGCCACGGCUAACUACGUGCCAGCCGCCGCCGUAAGAC